AGUUUCUCUCUGAACAUUUAUUCCACAGUCAUAGAAACUGAAGAUGGAAAAGACCUGAGGACAUCUAGUCCAUCCAUGUGAUUGUACAAGAAAAGUGGCUGGAGCAAAACAGCCUGUUCACUUCAUGCUCACAAGACAGCAUUUCAGUCCUUCCUGGAGUGGAGCGAUUGCACACACAUUAAAGUGAAGACACAAUGCAAACACUCUUUACAAACCUUAAGAAAAUACUUAUAGAACAUGGAGGCAAUUCAAGCAAUGCUGACAACAGUAAGCCUGCUUUCAGCCCCUGCAGCUUCUGGCCGCAUCCUGGCUGCAGUUUUGGCCACAUAGUUCAUCAGGAGAUAUUUGAGAAGCCAUGCCCUGGUCAUCUACUUUGUGGAUGGGCAGGGUGGUCUGGCAUGUUAUCACCACUGCUCAGAAUGCCUCAGGAGAGAAGCUUAAGGUAAACCUGAUAUACAAAAAUUCAAACUUACAAAACAGAUACAUUAAGGGAUAAUUAAUUGCAUUACAAAAGGAUUCUUUACAAAAGAAUUCACCUCUGGGUUCCUUUAAGUAGCCAGCUUCUCAAGUAGUCAGAAUCUAAGCUGAGUUAUAAAAGUGUCCACGUACGUUAGGAGCAUGGCUGUUACGUGAGUUGAGGUACACCUGUACGUCAGCCUUCUGGGCUGUGUAGAGGUUAGCAGUGCAGAGCAUGGUGGCAGAGUCUUGAGAGCAUCCUUAGCUGUUGCAGGUGGGAUUGGAUGGCUAAGGGGCAUAGUCUUUCAAAGGCAGCUGCAAACCUGCUUCUGGGUCUGGGGUGAGAACAUGGGAAGAUGGGCAUUUCAAGACAGAGUUGUCCUUUCUGUUUCCAGGGCUCACUGUCCCCUCGUUGUUGAAUGGUUUCAUCUGUGUGGUUGAUUAAGUCUAACAUUAGAAGAACCCUCCCUCAUCAGACUGUCUAAGCCUAUAUCCACCCAGGGGUUUCUCAGACAACUAACUAAUUGCUUAUCUUACUUGCAGCUUGAAGUGUUAUCUUUCCCUGGGGUCCUGGGCAGCUCUUAGUGGGAAUUCAGGGAUUGCGUCCAAAAGUAGGGGAAGAAAUUUUGCAUUUAAGGAGCUUUUGCAAUGAUCUGCAACUUACAGAACAUAGUGCUUGGCACAGUGGUAAGUCACUGUAGGCCUCAAAUUGAUUGGGAUGGAGCAAAGAUGAUAAGCAACUGAGAAAAUAAAGCAAGUAAUUGAUAGACA
rnacentral:lncRNA from 1 species